rnacentral:rRNA from 1 species
UUCGGGGGACAAAGUGACAGGUGGUGCAUGGUUGUCGUCAGCUCGUGUCGUGAGAUGUUGGGUUAAGUCCCGCAACGAGCGCAACCCUUAAGCUUAGUUGCCAUCAUUAAGUUGGGCACUCUAAGUUGACUGCCGGUGACAAACCGGAGGAAGGUGGGGAUGACGUCAAAUCAUCAUGCCCCUUAUGAUUUGGGCUACACACGUGCUACAAUGGACAAUACAAAGGGCAGCGAAACCGUGAGGUCAAGCAAAUCCCAUAAAGUUGUUCUCAGUUCGGAUUGUAGUCUGCAACUCGACUACAUGAAGCUGGAAUCGCUAGUAAUCGUAGAUCAGCAUGCUACGGUGAAUACGUUCCCGGGUCUUGUACAC